AGCAAGCAUAUUGAUGAAGCAACAACAUGCAUAUGCAACUGCACAUUGAAAGGAAGAAAAAAAACUGGAGAACUGUUAAAUCAAAUCAAUCCCAACAAAAAAAAAAAAACCUAGCAACUUAAGCAUCAAUCCACAGUUUAAAAUUCAAUUUUGUUAAACCAAAGGCAACCCAAAUAAUCAAUUUUCUUGCCAACUCUUCAUAAUUUGUGAAAUGAGUUUCAAUCCCCAACUAUGAAUUAUGACAAAGCUCAUUAUCCGAAGGCUUAAAUAAACCCCACAUCCAAUAACAAAUGAGAUUCCAUGAUUGAAUACUACUUUUUAAGGUCCAUAAAAGAUCAACCCAUAUAUUCAUUUAAUCACCUAUAGUAAGAAAAGAAAACAAAAUUAGGAAUAGGAUUGAUUUUUAACCUU
rnacentral:lncRNA from 1 species